rnacentral:rRNA from 1 species
UACGAAGGGGGCUAGCGUUGCUCGGAAUUACUGGGCGUAAAGCGCACGUAGGCGGCUUUCUAAGUCGGAGGUGAAAUCCUGGAGCUCAACUCCAGAACUGCCUUCGAUACUGGAGAGCUUGAGUCCGGGAGAGGUGAGUGGAACUGCGAGUGUAGAGGUGAAAUUCGUAGAUAUUCGCAAGAACACCAGUGGCGAAGGCGGCUCACUGGCCCGAUACUGACACUGAGGCACGAAAGCGUGGGGAGCAAACAGG